AGUUGACGCUGACCUCCCUAGAGGGCAUUGGCAGCAUAAACGUGACUACGCUGGCUGUUACGACUUUGGGUAAGGAGGCUAAUUUUGUCUUCCAACACGUCCACGGCACAUGCAACGACCCUGAAGGAAACUUCGUUUACGGUGGACCGGCUUUUUUCAUCUGGAAGAGGACCAAGGAUGGUUUAAGGAUCUUCAUGGAGAUCUAUGACGAUUCGGCCUUAACUAUGUAAGAAAGAGAGGAAAAAACGGAAUUGGGGAGGAUAUCAUAACCCAAUGCAAUAACUAUUAAUCCUCUAUAUACGCGCAAGUUAGUUAUCACCAUCGUUUUGUAAAACAGCAGUACUUCUGCUGUGCUCUUUUGAAAGAGUUUCUAAGCAAAGAUACUUCAGAGAAAUGCAACUCCAUCCUCUUCUUCUUAUUUUGUGUUAAUAAUCUGAAAGUGGUCAUGGCGACCUUUAAAAAAAGAGAAAAUUUAGUUGAUCACAUAAGAGGUUACCGCGAUGAAGAAAAUGAGGUAAAUAAAAACCCCUUUGAAAUUAAA